rnacentral:rRNA from 1 species
UACGUAGGGGGGCAAGCGUUGUCCGGAUUCAUUGGGCGUAAAGAGCGUGUAGGCGGUCAGGUAGGUCGGUUGUGAAAACUGGAGGCUCAACCUUCAGAGGUCGACCGAAACCCCCUGGCUAGAGUCCGGGAGAGGAGAGUGGAAUUCCUGGUGUAGCGGUGAAAUGCGCAGAUAUCAGGAAGAACACCCGUGGCGAAAGCGGCUCUCUGGAACGGUACUGACGCUGAGACGCGAAAGCGUGGGGAGCGAACAGG